GGCUUCAUAGCUCGGUUGCAGUUGGUAGAGUACUGCACCCGUAUCACAGAGGUCAUGGGUUCGAAUCGCGUUCUAGCCU